rnacentral:rRNA from 1 species
GAUGAACGCUGGCGGCGUGCCUAAUACAUGCAAGUCGAGCGAACGGACGAUAAUCUUGCUUCUCUGAUGUUAGCCGCGGACGUGUGAGUAACACGUGUAUAACCUACCUAUAUUUCUGGUAUAUCUUCGGGAAUCCGGAGCUAAUACCGUAUAAUAUUUUGAACCGCAUGGUUCAUUAGUUAAAUACGGUCUUUCUGUCACUUAUAGAUGCUUCGCCGCUGCUUUAGCUAGUUGGUAAGGUAACGGCUUACCAAGGCAACGAUGCAUAGCCGACAGGAGAGGGUGAUAGGCCAAACGGGAAGGGAGACACGGACCAGAGGCCUACGGGAGGAAGCAGUAGGGAAUGUUAGGCAAUGGGGGAAAGAAUGACGGAGCAAGGCGGAGUGAGAGAUGAAGGUCUUCGGAGCGUAAAAAUCUGUUAUGAGGGAAGAACAAAUGUGUAAGUAAAUGUGCAGAGAGUGACGGUAACUAAUAAGAAAGCAACGGCUAACUACGUG